UACGUAGGGGGCGAGCGUUGUCCGGAUUUAUUGGGCGUAAAGAGCUCGUAGGCGGCUUGUCGCGUCGACUGUGAAAACCCGUGGCUCAACCAUGUGGUCUGCAGUCGAUACGGGCAGGCUAGAAUUCGGUAGGGGAGACUGGAAUUCCUGGUGUAGCGGUGAAAUGCGCAGAUAUCAGGAGGAACACCGGUGGCGAAGGCAGGUCUCUGGGCCAUUACUGACGCUGAGAAGCGAAAGCAUGGGGAGCGAACAGG
rnacentral:rRNA from 1 species